CUCCCCUUCAGACACCCAGCUCUACAAGAUCAUUUUGCCUGGUGUGUCCCACAGACUGUAGUAUAGGCUGGUUCCUCUGCUUCUCAUUCCACUUGUCAGUUCUGUAGGCAGGAGGACUGGUACCCAGCAACAGCAGUCACCCACAAAGUAAUCUGGUCCUCUCAUGCACGUGGGCUGCACUCGUGGCUGGAAUAUCUGCAGCCAAGGUCUUGGCUCAGAAGUGAAUGGCUCAAGCCCAGAAAAAGGCAAAAUUCCUCCAAGAUGGAAAUCAGCCCCUAGGAACCAGGCAGAAUAGAGUAAUACAUGUUUUCCUAUGCCCUGAAAUCUGGGGAGCCUCAGCAAUGCUUAAGACCCAGCAACUUGGGCUCAGCCUUUCCUGAGCGGUGUCAAGUGCCAAAGGACAAACAUCAUGCUAAAGUCAAUUUCUGCGAAAGAGGUUACUGCAUAUGAAGAGAUGGCUGAACCUUCUGACUACAUCCUGAGAGCCUCAGGCCGCAGGAUUUGGGACACAUCUAUCCUGGUGCCCACAGAAUCAAGAAGCAAGAAGUCUGGACCACAAAACUAAAGCCUUCAGUUUAAGAUGGAACAAGCAGGGAUGAAAGAAGACAGUUUCGUAACACUAGUCUUCAGAGAGCUACCAAACUGGUGCUUUAAAUGUCUACCAACGGGGAGACGACCUGACAUCCUGUUUGACAAAGGAAAUCAAUACAGUGAUGCGGCCCUGGCAAGUCAAAAACACUGGAGAUUGGAAUUUUCUUCAAAAUGCCUAGUCCUUGGUGAAUAAAUGCUGUCUCUAACCAUCUGCUGCUGACACUUGAAGAAAGAAUUACAACCAAACUGACCUUCAUCCCGGAGAUUUACAACCAAGGGGAACAAGCUUUUCCCUUCUGUUUCCAACACCUAUGGUCUGAUAACCUAGCUACUCCAAAUGUAGCUUUCCAGCACUGAACUGGGAGA
rnacentral:lncRNA from 1 species